rnacentral:rRNA from 1 species
UACGAAGGGGACUAGCGUUGUUCGGAAUUACUGGGCGUAAAGCGCACGUAGGCGGUUUUGCAAGCCAGAGGUGAAAUGCCUGAGCUCAACUUAGGAAUUGCCUUUGGGACUGCGAGGCUUUGAGGACUGGAGAGGUGAGUGGAAUUCCCAGUGUAGAGGUGAAAUUCGUAGAUAUUGGGAAGAACACCGGUGGCGAAGGCGGCUCACUGGCCAGUUUCUGACGCUGCAGCGCGAAAGCGUGGGGAUCAAACAGG